CAGCAGCCGCGGGAAUACGUAGGGGGCGAGCGUUGUCCGGAAUCAUUGGGCGUAAAGCGCGUGUAGGCGGCCCGGUAAGUCCGCUGUGAAAGUCCAGGGCUCAACCCUGGGAUGCCGGUGGAUACUGUCGGGCUCGAGUCCGGAAGAGGCGAGUGGAAUUCCUGGUGUAGCGGUGAAAUGCGCAGAUAUCAGGAGGAACACCAAUGGCGAAGGCAGCUCGCUGGGACGUGACUGACGCUGAGACGCGAAAGCGUGGGGAGCAAACAGGAUUAGAUACCCCCGUAGUCCCUGUCUCUUAUAC
rnacentral:rRNA from 1 species